rnacentral:rRNA from 1 species
AUUGAACGCUGGCGGCAGGCCUAACACAUGCAAGUCGAGCGGAGCGGCGGACGGGUGAGUAAUGCCUAGGAAUCUGCCUGGUAGUGGGGGAUAACGUCCGGAAACGGGCGCUAAUACCGCAUACUAUCAGAUGAGCCUAGGUCGGAUUAGCUAGUUGGUGGGGUAAAGGCCUACCAAGGCGACGAUCCGUAACUGGUCUGAGAGGAUGAUCAGUCACACUGGAACUGAGACACGGUCCAGACUCCUACGGGAGGCAGCAGUGGGGAAUAUUGCGCAAUGGGGGCAACCCUGACGCAGCCAUGCCGCGUGAAUGAAGAAGGCCUUCGGGUUGUAAAGUUCUUUCGGUGACGAGGCGUUAAUCACAGAAGAAGCACCGGCUAACUCCGUGCCAGCCGCCGCGGUAAUAC